rnacentral:lncRNA from 10 species
CUCUGGGACCUAUGGCAAAACCCAAAUGAACCACCAACUGUAAUGGUCUAUUUUCUUGAGCUCAGAGCAACUAUGUGAACUCAGAAAGAAAUUAUAGGCUUUAAAUGAUCCUUAAUACCCUGCAUUUCAGUGUUACCUACAUACGCCACCUCAGAGGAUAGCAUUUCUGUAGUAGCCGUGGUAUGACACACUGCCAAGAUUAAUAGGCCUAUCCAGGGGAAGCUCCCAGGACAAUGACAAGAUACAAGGUCUCACUCUGUCAUCCAGGCUGGAGCGGUGCCAUCACAGCUCACUGCAGCCUGGACCUCCCAGACUCAAGUGAUCCUCCCACCACAGCCUCCCAAGUAGCCAGGACUACAGGUGAGUGCUCUGCUAAGCUCUGCAACAAGUUCCAAGCUAGUAGUGGCCAGCUACUCAGCUUUCUCAGGAAACUCACCUUCUCUCCUUGGAGUGAUGGGACUGAGUCCCGCAAACUGUGAAAGCUGUCUUUGAUGUGGUCCCUACGUUUUCGUUCCAGUGCAUUAUGAUGAGCCCGUUUGUCAGCCUAGAAGAAUGGGAGAAAGAACACAUUAGGAAUGUCACUCCUUUUGCUUGGUACA